rnacentral:rRNA from 1 species
GGUUAAGCGACUAAGCGUACACGGUGGAUGCCCUGGCAGUCAGAGGCGAUGAAGGGCGUGCUAAUCUGCGAUAAGCGCCGGUAAGGUGAUAUGAACCGUUAUAACCGGCGAUACCCGAAUGGGGAAACCCAGUGUGACUCGUCACACUAUCAUUAACUGAAUCCAUAGGUUAAUGAGGCGAACCGGGGGAACUGAAACAUCUAAGUACCCCGAGGAAAAGAAAUCAACCGAGAUUCCCCCAGUAGCGGCGAGCGAACGGGGAGGAGCCCAGAGCCUGAAUCAGCAUGUGUGUUAGUGGAAGCGUCUGGAAAGGCGCGCGAUACAGGGUGACAGCCCCGUACACAAAAGCGCAUGUGCUGUGAGCUCGAUGAGUAGGGCGGGACACGUGGUAUCCUGUCUGAAUAUGGGGGGACCAUCCUCCAAGGCUAAAUACUCCUGACUGACCGAUAGUGAACCAGUACCGUGAGGGAAAGGCGAAAAGAACCCCGGCGAGGGGAGUGAAAAAGAACCUGAAACCGUGUACGUACAAGCAGUGGGAGCCCCACCACUAAGCCAGUGGUGAACUCCACAUACGCAUCCUUUGCUGAGGAUACGGUUAACGGAGCGAAAGCGACGUUCAACCGCAAAACAAGCAGAGGGGGCUUAGUGGUGGGGUGACUGCGUACCUUUUGUAUAAUGGGUCAGCGACUUAUAUUCUGUAGCAAGGUUAACCGUAUAGGGGAGCCGGAGGGAAACCGAGUCUUAACUGGGCGUUAAGUUGCAGGGUAUAGACCCGAAACCCGGUGAUCUAGCCAUGGGCAGGUUGAAGGUUGGGUAACACUAACUGGAGGACCGAACCGACUAAUGUUGAAAAAUUAGCGGAUGACCUGUGGCUGGGGGUGAAAGGCCAAUCAAACCGGGAGAUAGCUGGUUCUCCCCGAAAGCUAUUUAGGUAGCGCCUCGUGAAUUCAUCUCCGGGGGUAGAGCACUGUUUCGGCUAGGGGGCCAUCCCGGCUUACCAACCCGAUGCAAACUGCGAAUACCGGAGAAUGUUAUCACGGGAGACACACGGCGGGUGCUAACGUCCGUCGUGAAGAGGGAAACAACCCAGACCGCCAGCUAAGGUCCCAAAGUCAUGGUUAAGUGGGAAACGAUGUGGGAAGGCCCAGACAGCCAGGAUGUUGGCUUAGAAGCAGCCAUCAUUUAAAGAAAGCGUAAUAGCUCACUGGUCGAGUCGGCCUGCGCGGAAGAUGUAACGGGGCUAAACCAUGCACCGAAGCUGCGGCAGCGACACUGUGUGUUGUUGGGUAGGGGAGCGUUCUGUAAGCCUGCGAAGGUGGCCUGUGAGGGGUGCUGGAGGUAUCAGAAGUGCGAAUGCUGACAUAAGUAACGAUAAAGCGGGUGAAAAGCCCGCUCGCCGGAAGACCAAGGGUUCCUGUCCAACGUUAAUCGGGGCAGGGUGAGUCGACCCCUAAGGCGAGGCCGAAAGGCGUAGUCGAUGGGAAACGGGUUAAUAUUCCCGUACUCGGUGUUACUGCGAAGGGGGGACGGAGAAGGCUAUGUUGGCCGGGCGACGGUUGUCCCGGUUUAAGCGUGUAGGUGUGUGUUCCAGGUAAAUCCGGUUCACUUUAACACUGAGGCGUGACGACGAGGCACUACGGUGCUGAAGCAACAAAUGCCCUGCUUCCAGGAAAAGCCUCUAAGCAUCAGGUAACAUCAAAUCGUACCCCAAACCGACACAGGUGGUCAGGUAGAGAAUACCAAGGCGCUUGAGAGAACUCGGGUGAAGGAACUAGGCAAAAUGGUGCCGUAACUUCGGGAGAAGGCACGCUGACACGUAGGUGAAGUGAUUUACUCAUGGAGCUGAAGUCAGUCGAAGAUACCAGCUGGCUGCAACUGUUUAUUAAAAACACAGCACUGUGCAAACACGAAAGUGGACGUAUACGGUGUGACGCCUGCCCGGUGCCGGAAGGUUAAUUGAUGGGGUCAGCGCAAGCGAAGCUCCUGAUCGAAGCCCCGGUAAACGGCGGCCGUAACUAUAACGGUCCUAAGGUAGCGAAAUUCCUUGUCGGGUAAGUUCCGACCUGCACGAAUGGCGUAAUGAUGGCCAGGCUGUCUCCACCCGAGACUCAGUGAAAUUGAACUCGCUGUGAAGAUGCAGUGUACCCGCGGCAAGACGGAAAGACCCCGUGAACCUUUACUAUAGCUUGACACUGAACAUUGAGCCUUGAUGUGUAGGAUAGGUGGGAGGCUUUGAAGUGUGGACGCCAGUCUGCAUGGAGCCGACCUUGAAAUACCACCCUUUAAUGUUUGAUGUUCUAACGUGGACCCGUGAUCCGGGUUGCGGACAGUGUCUGGUGGGUAGUUUGACUGGGGCGGUCUCCUCCUAAAGAGUAACGGAGGAGCACGAAGGUUGGCUAAUCCUGGUCGGACAUCAGGAGGUUAGUGCAAUGGCAUAAGCCAGCUUGACUGCGAGCGUGACGGCGCGAGCAGGUGCGAAAGCAGGUCAUAGUGAUCCGGUGGUUCUGAAUGGAAGGGCCAUCGCUCAACGGAUAAAAGGUACUCCGGGGAUAACAGGCUGAUACCGCCCAAGAGUUCAUAUCGACGGCGGUGUUUGGCACCUCGAUGUCGGCUCAUCACAUCCUGGGGCUGAAGUAGGUCCCAAGGGUAUGGCUGUUCGCCAUUUAAAGUGGUACGCGAGCUGGGUUUAGAACGUCGUGAGACAGUUCGGUCCCUAUCUGCCGUGGGCGCUGGAGAACUGAGGGGGGCUGCUCCUAGUACGAGAGGACCGGAGUGGACGCAUCACUGGUGUUCGGGUUGUCAUGCCAAUGGCACUGCCCGGUAGCUAAAUGCGGAAGAGAUAAGUGCUGAAAGCAUCUAAGCACGAAACUUGCCCCGAGAUGAGUUCUCCCUGAGACUUUAGGUCUCCUGAAGGAACGUUGAAGACGACGACGUUGAUAGGCCGGGUGUGUAAGCGCAGCGAUGCGUUGAGCUAACCGGUACUAAUGAACCGUGAGGCUUAACCUU